AUGAGUGAUGCUACUUGGGAUGAUGCUCAAUUAGGUAGAGGACACAUCAAUUGUGGGGUAGCCGUAGGCAUAGCUAAUAGGUGGAGUAGGAGAAGAUGUACAUAUGAUGGUGAUGUGAGCACAUACAUAGGAGUGAAGCUAGCCAAGAUACAACAAGCUUGCUGCGAGAAGAGGAAUGGAAGAGGAUUUGGAGGAGAGGAGAUGGGGGCCAUGGUAUAA
rnacentral:rRNA from 1 species